AAAUUUUGUCUGCCGUCUCUAACGUUGGUUACCAUAAAUAGAAUAGAUGGGUCUCAGUGCCAAUUCUUUUCUUUUUUAUCCAGAUUUUUAAUUUGCAAGUACUAGUGAUUGAAACGAUCAUUAACAAAACAAAAUCAUCGGAUUUAUCACAUUUGUAUUUCUGCUGUAUCUUCAUCAGCAUCAUCGUUCUUAAUUUCUUAAUUUCUGAUGUAAAGAGGGGUGAGCGUCGGCGGGGCUUUCUCUCUUACCAAAACAAGCCGACUCCACAGCCAAACAAUCCAAAACCACAGCCAAGCCACAUUGUAAACAGAAAAUCAAACCAUAUAGGCAGAGCUACGAAGAAUAGACUCAAAAUUCGUUAACACAAAAAAAAAUAAUAAUAAAAUAAAAAAACACACGGACACACAAAUCGGAGGGUAAGAGAGUUCUAAGCAUAACUCAG
rnacentral:misc_RNA from 1 species